UACGGGGGGGGCAAGCGUUGUUCGGAAUUACUGGGCGUAAAGGGCUCGUAGGCGGCCAACUAAGUCAGACGUGAAAUCCCUCGGCUUAACCGGGGAACUGCGUCUGAUACUGGAUGGCUUGAGUGUAGGAGAGGGAUGCGGAAUUCCAGGCGUAGCGGUGAAAUGCGUAGAUAUCUGGAGGAACACCGGUGGCGAAGGCGGCAUCCUGGACCAACACUGACACUGAAGAGCGAAAGCCAGGGGAGCAAACGGG
rnacentral:rRNA from 1 species